rnacentral:siRNA from 1 species
UGGGUGUCUUCCUCAAAUAAAAGA